rnacentral:rRNA from 1 species
AGUGAACGCUGGCGGUAGGCCUAACACAUGCAAGUCGAACGGCAGCACAGUAGGAGCUUGCUCUUACGGGUGGCGAGUGGCGGACGGGUGAGGAAUACAUCGGAAUCUACUUUUUCGUGGGGGAUCACGUAGGGAAACUUACGCUAAUACCGCAUACGACCUACGGGUGAAAGCAGUGGAUCUUCGGACCUUGCGCGAUUGAAUGAGCCGAUGUCGGAGUAGCUAGUUGGCGGGGUAAAGGCCCACCAAGGCGACGAUCCGUAGCUGGUCUGAGAGGAUGAUCAGCCACACUGGAACGGAGACACGGUCCAGACGCCUACGGGAGGCAGCAGUGGGGAAUAUUGGGCAAUGGGCGCAAGCCUUAUCCAGCCAUACCGCGUGGGUGAAGAAGGCCUUCGGGUUGUAAAGCCCUUUUGUUGGGAAAGAAAAGCAGCAGGUUAAUACCCCGCUGUUCUGACGGUACCCAAAGAAUAAGCACCGGCUAACUUCGUG